GAAGGUGUAUGCCGCCCUGGGGGCCCUGGGCACACUGCAUCGCCACCACCUGGUCACAGAGGUGUCUGAGCCGUGGAGCGAACUGUCUUGGCUGUUUCCCUACAAGAUGCCUCCUAUGACUGCAGUGGAAUGAAGGGCGCACGCGUUCUAGCAUUUCACAGACCCGUGUCUCGCCUCCUCUGCUCGCACCUGCAUCCCCAGCCCUGUACGGAUGUCUGUUCUGUGCAGGCUGUCCUGCUCACCACCAACUUCAAGAUGGACAAAGAACAAAAGUGACCUGCCUCACAUCCCUUUUGGAAGGACGCACACUUCCAGAUCCUGUUUGACAAAUUCAGGCCAAGGGCAGGUGCUCUCGACAGAGAGAUUGCUUCCUCCUCCGAACUGCAUCUUUCACAGUCAUCAGCCGAGCCAGGUGGUCCCAGCCGGGCCAGGGAGCCGCACCGAUGCAAAGCCCCCGCCUCCUGAAUCCUCAAGCAGCAUCGGCAAAACACAGAACCUGAAGCGAUGGCCGGGGUGGUGCAGAGUUGAAAAUGUUUCCGUAUCGGUCGUGUUACGGAUGCGGAGAGCAAGGUGGGGGCUGAAGGGAGGGAGAAGACAGGCCUAAUCCGGAAAAGGUGGGCUCUGGGCAUUGCCCUCCCCUCCUGGCUCAUGUCAUCUCCCCUGAGCUGGAUGCCAAGCUGGCACACACGUUUUCAGAGAUAACGGGAUGCUUGAAGGCUUCAGAAUGAAAAUGACAGUCUUCAACUGCACACUUGGUGGCAGAGGCUGCCUGCGUCUGCUCUCGGCCAGAUGCCCUCCCAACCAGGAGCCUCCCCUGGGCAGCUCUCACCUCGCCCACGACGUCUCAGAAGCCAGCAGGCUCGGGUUUGCGGCUGUGCCUGUACAGGGAUUCUUCUCUGGAAGGCCUUCUGGCUUAAGAUGACUCCCCUCAAAAGGAGCAGUUGCUGAAGCCUUUGAAAGACAAUGGUCCACACCCCUUAAUCAGCAUCCCUUAAUUCAAGAGAGCUUGAAAUUAAAAUAUUUACACAUGUUAUU
rnacentral:lncRNA from 1 species